rnacentral:rRNA from 1 species
GGGGGUCAUCCCGACUUACCAACCCGAUGCAAACUGCGAAUACCGGAGAAUGUUAUCACGGGAGACACACGGCGGGUGCUAACGUCCGUCGUGAAGAGGGAAACAACCCAGACCGCCAGCUAAGGUCCCAAAGUCAUGGUUAAGUGGGAAACGAUGUGGGAAGGCCCAGACAGCCAGGAUGUUGGCUUAGAAGCAGCCAUCAUUUAAAGAAAGCGUAAUAGCUCACUGGUCGAGUCGGCCUGCGCGGAAGAUGUAACGGGGCUAAACCAUGCACCGAAGCUGCGGCAGCGAUGCUUAUGCGUUGUUGGGUAG